rnacentral:misc_RNA from 1 species
GAUGAAGAACGUAGCGAAAUGCGAUACUUGGUGUGAAUUGCAGAAUCCCGUGAACCAUCGAGUCUUUGAACGCAAGUUGCGCCCGAAGCCAUUAGGCCGAGGGCACGCCUGCCUGGGCGUCACACGUCGUUGCCCCCCCAUCUACUCCUUCGGGAUUGCGGGGGGCGGAUGAUGGCCUCCCGUGCGCCUCGCCGCGCGGUUGGCAUAAAUGCCAAGUCCUCGGCGACGCACGCCACGACAAUCGGUGGUUGCGAAACCUCGGUUGCCCGUCGUGUGCGGUCGUCGCGCAUCGAGGGCUCGAAAAAAUUGCCGGGUUCCGGCUCGGCUUUCAACGCGACCCUAGGUCAGGCGGGGUUACCCGCUGAAUUUAAGCAUAUCAAUAGCGGAGGA